rnacentral:rRNA from 1 species
AUUGAACGCUGGCGGCGUGCUUAACACACGCAAGUCGAUCGGUAACGCGGGGGCAACCCUGGCGACGAGAGGCGGACGGGUGAGGAACGCUUGGGAAUCUGCCUAUCAGCGGGGGACAACCCGGGGAAACUCGGGCUAAUACCGCAUACGCUCUACGGAGGAAAGCCGGGGACCGCAAGGCCUGGCACUGAUAGAUGAGCCCAAGUCGGAUUAGCUAGUUGGCGGGGUAACGGCCCACCAAGGCGACGAUCCGUAGCUGGUCUGAGAGGACGAUCAGCCACACUGGGACUGAGACACGGCCCAGACUCCUACGGGAGGCAGCAGUGGGGAAUAUUGGACAAUGGGGGAAACCCUGAUCCAGCGACGCCGCGUGGGUGAAGAAGGCCUGCGGGUUGUAAAGCCCUUUCGGUAGGGACGAAAGCUCUCGACCUAACACGUCGGGAGGUUGACUUAACCUACAAAAGAAGCACCGGCUAACUCUGUGCCAGCCGCCGCCGUAAAAC